rnacentral:rRNA from 1 species
ACACAUGCAGUCGAACGAUGAUGCCUAGCUUGCUAGGUGGAUUAGUGGCGAACGGGUGAGUAACACGUGAGUAACCUGCCCCUGACUCUGGGAUAAGCCUGAGAAAUUGGGUCUAAUACUGGAUAUGAACAUUUACCGCAUGGUGGGUGUUGGAAAGAUUUUUUGGUUGGGGAUGGACUCGCGGCCUAUCAGCUUGUUGGUGAGGUAGUGGCUCACCAAGGCGACGACGGGUAGCCGGCCUGAGAGGGUGACCGGCCACACUGGGACUGAGACACGGCCCAGACUCCUACGGGAGGCAGCAGUGGGGAAUAUUGCACAAUGGGCGAAAGCCUGAUGCAGCGACGCCGCGUGAGGGAUGACGGCCUUCGGGUUGUAAACCUCUUUCAGUAAGGAAGAAGCGAAAGUGACGGUACUUGCAGAAGAAGCGCCGGCUAACUACGUGCCAGCAGCCGCGGUAAUACGUAGGGCGCGAGCGUUAUCCGGAAUUAUUGGGCGUAAAGAGCUCGUAGGCGGUUUGUCGCGUCUGCCGUGAAAGUCCGGGGCUUAACUCCGGAUCUGCGGUGGGUACGGGCAGGCUAGAGUGCAGUAGGGGAGACUGGAAUUCCUGGUGUAGCGGUGAAAUGCGCAGAUAUCAGGAGGAACACCGAUGGCGAA